AACCUUUACUAUAGCUUGACACUGAACAUUGAGCCUUGAUGUGUAGGAUAGGUGGGAGGCUUAGAAGUGUGGACGCCAGUCUGCAUGGAGCCGACCUUGAAAUACCACCCUUUAAUGUUUGAUGUUCUAACGUUGACCCGUGAUCCGGGUUGCGGACAGUGUCUGGUGGGUAGUUUGACUGGGGCGGUCUCCUCCUAAAGAGUAACGGAGGAGCACGAAGGUUGGCUAAUCCUGGUCGGACAUCAGGAGGUUAGUGCAAUGGCAUAAGCCAGCUUGACUGCGAGCGUGACGGCGCGAGCAGGUGCGAAAGCAGGUCAUAGUGAUCCGGUGGUUCUGAAUGGAAGGGCCAUCGCUCAACGGAUAAAAGGUACUCCGGGGAUAACAGGCUGAUACCGCCCAAGAGUUCAUAUCGACGGCGGUGUUUGGCACCUCGAUGUCGGCUCAUCACAUCCUGGGGCUGAAGUAGGUCCCAAGGGUAUGGCUGUUCGCCAUUUAAAGUGGUACGCGAGCUGGGUUUAGAACGUCGUGAGACAGUUCGGUCCCUAUCUGCCGUGGGCGCUGGAGAACUGAGGGGGGCUGCUCCUAGUACGAGAGGACCGGAGUGGACGCAUCACUGGUGUUCGGGUUGUCAUGCCAAUGGCACUGCCCGGUAGCUAAAUGCGGAAGAGAUAAGUGCUGAAAGCAUCUAAGC
rnacentral:rRNA from 1 species